GCAGGUCGAUAUGUUAUUACACCACCGCACUCUGAAUUUCCCCGCGUCUCGCUCACUCGCUCGCGGCCGCGCCGUCUCGUUAAGUAUAUGGAAGCGCAUUCCGCGAGCUGAUAUUGACGCACCGACGCAUAAUUUCCGCGGCCUCCGCUAUUUGCACAGUGCUCCGCGCCCCGGUUCGGGCUUUAAUUAAUUACACCGACGUUAAAACGCGUGUGCUAACGCCCGAGAUAGCACCGCCCGAUAACAGAGUCGACUCGCUCCAAGGCAUCGGGACCCGUGUAACGAUAUCGCGCUCGCGAGCCUGUCUGUGUGCGGUUCGAUUUCUUCUCAGGGCGAUGCAAUCGCGACCCGAUGCUCGCAGGCAAUGAACCAGAAGUGCUCGCAUCGGAGCCACAUUACUAAAGAACGAGCUUACAAAUAAUCCCAAUAAUUCCGAGUAUCUCGUAGAAAAAGAGAGAAAGGCAGAGUGAACAGAAAAAAAUUGCUGCGCCACUGAUGAGGAGAUUCAAGAGAAUCGUGCAACGUGUACGUCGUGCGUGUGUGAAGCUCAGAAUCCGCCUUUACGCGACGCAAACGAGGAUCAAUGAAUGUUGUAUGUGGCAAGUGUUUGCACGCGUGCAGGUAUUCGUGUAGGUACUUCUUUAAGUACUUUGUAUUUUAUUAAGUACGUUGAAUUAAUGAUGGUUGUAUUGAAUCUUAAUCUUGUCUGCUUAAUCAGGACGCGCGCGAGAGAGUACGCCCUUAACGUCGGCGUAAAUAUCGCCGAUCCAGUUUGCGCGUGUAACGGGGUGUCGUUUAAUAUCUUAAUUGCAAGUAUAUUUCGAGGCGAACGCGCGCGCAAUUAAUAAGCUGGAUAAACGUGUCUCGCUCGUUUUGCUCAGCCUUGGGAAAAUCUUACAGCAGAUUCAAUCAGGAUCUGCUCCAUUGUGCUCCGUUAUUACGCCUCGUAAUUCACGGGAAAGCGGUCUCACGCAAAUUUUAUGGGUCGCCGUGGUCCUGGACGUGUUUAUAAUAAUGGCCGGUUUAUAUCUAACGCGUGCAACGCGAAUGAUAAAACGGUGGGUUGCACACUAUCGGCACGCGAUAUAUUGACCGUAAAUAUCGCGAGAUAACCGGCCGAAAAAUAAAAUUAAAACACUACGCACUGUCCGUUACAGAUAUUUCCGGUAACAAUCCGUGUCACCGAGUGUUAUAGUCUCACGUUGUUUCGAUGGUCGUUGUCCCACGAGCGAUAAAAUGAAAAGCAAUAUUGUUAACCGUCCAAUUAUUUGCACGCAAUAUUUAAUAGUUUCCAUCAGGCAAAACUCAUUUCUCGAUUGAUUUCGAAUGAAUAUUUUCCACAUAAUAAAACUCGAGGACCAGUUGUAAAGGUGUUUCAAAUGAAAAUAAUGAAAUCACGAAAAAACACCGUCUAACUGCAAGCUAAAAAUCAAAUUCACAUUAAUUGAGGAAUAUUUUUAUAAAAUAUUUUGAGGAAUAUAAUUAAAAAAAUUAAUUUAAACAAGACAGAAGUAAUCUGCUGCGCUCGGCGAAUUUUCCCGAGAUGCAUUCUCAUGUUUCGCGGACGAGACAAUGCUCGAUGGCCUUGGAGCAUAGUGUCUACUUAAACAGGAUAUCCCUUAGACAGGGUAUCCUUUGGACAGGAUAAUCCUGUGAUCCAUGUCCCACGCCCACUUGUCCACCCAAUGCAGGUAAACGCGGGUAAACACGGUGUCGAUUAUUCACAGUGGAUCAUUGGCACCAGACGCGCCUAACUCGCGCAUUUAUGCACGCACGUAUGUACCCUGCAUCCACGAUUGUGUACAUAUCCUGGACCCACAGGUGGUCAACCGACAGCAUCCAAGUAGCACGGAAGCGACGCGAAUUCGAGUAUACGUGUGAAACCAUAGUUGACCACUACUGCGGUGUCUAUACCGUGUCCGAGGACCUUAGCCCGAAGUCAGUUACGUGAACCACCCACGUUUGCUCGUCCUCGUCGUUUCUCCGCGAGGGCAUUGUGAGAGUAUCUGAGAUACUACAGAUAGAGACCUGUUGCUUCGUAACGGUGCGGGAUUGACCGGUACCGGUUCUCUAAUCGGAAAAGAAGAUUGGGGCAAGACGUGAACGCGGUCUCUCUUUCUCUCUCUUCAAGAUCGCCGGGUGGAAACUGCCAAUCGCAGCCCCGAUCGGCCGCAUUAUAAUUCAAAUGGUUCCAUUAAGUGCGUUCACGCGCUAUUAGAGCCGCGCGGAUUCUCUCGCCUUUCCUUACGACGCCUUUUCUCACGAUUGGCCUCGGCCUUCGUGGAUGACGAGGGCGAAAGUGCACCCAUAUCGAUCCCCCCUGCCGGCCUUAACGCCGUUUCCAUUAGGUUAACGACCCGCGCCUCCGAUAAAGUAUUCACUAUGCGGAUAAAUACGACGUGAUUCUCGGGAUAACGAGUGCCGGGCGAACGAAAAGCGAUUCGGCAUUCGGCAUUAGAUGAUGCCCGAUUAUGACUCGCAGGCUCCAUCACGCGUUAUUUCGUCGCGGUAAAUUAGGUGACACUUUACCCCAUGCUUAUCCCAGUAGCGGCUGAUCAAAUGCGUUUUUACGAAACGCAACCGUGAGAGAUCGAGAAAUGAAUCUGAUCGCUCGGAUAAUUAAUAUAAUUAGUGUCACAUACGGCAAGUUUGCUCGGUGGCGAAUCUCUGAAUCAAGAAAAUCGAACGCAUUUAUUAUCGAGUUUGCGAUAAAAUUAUAAUUUGAUACGACUCCGCAAUUGAUAUCGGCACACGACACACGCUAUUUUCCGGAUCUAAUUAAUUACGGAGCAGCGCAGAGGUUUCCAAGUUUUCCGCACGAAUCUCGGUAGAGUAAAGUUUCGACCUGCUGCUCGGGGGGGGGUGAGAACCACCCUCUGGGAGGCGACGGUACCCCCGGAAAGUGGCGCCUAUCUAACGGAGACGCCGGGCACUGUCGGCGUCCCGACGCUGCAGCAGCCCUGCAACGCCUCUGUGACCUACCGCCAGAUUGAGAUACCAACGGUUUUCUAUCGUGACACCGGGUAUAUCGCGCGCCGAUAAAGCAGAUCGUUCUGUGCUGUGCAAGCUCAAACUUUACUAGAAAAUCUGAUAGCUUAUCAACACUUCUUCGAAAAUAUAAAAACAUUUCUUAACGUAAAGAGUAUCAGCCGAUUGUUCCGCAUAUACUGGUACUUAAAGCAAUAGUCUGUAGCAGUAAAAAUGAAGCAAAAGAUAUCAAUUUCGAGGGCUUCUAUUAUUUACAUGGAUACGUAUAUUAAAAACGAUAAAAGAGGAAACACGAGGGAAAGAAGAGAGAUGAUAAUUAUCUCUCUCGACCACGUUACAGAUUGAAAUGAUGGAAAUCACGGUAUUUUUGAGACACAUCACACAAGCUCGCGACUCGGAAUCCCUUUUGCCGAUGGAAGAAAGGGCGAUUCGCUGGUUUGUUAAAAAUUCCCGCAUGCCUUUGACCCGUGCGGUUAGCAUGGUGUACCAUAUACGGUUUAAUACGUGCAUUUCGCGAAAUCACACGAUCUAAACGUACGCAGUGUCGAGCUCGUAGCAGCAGGAUGUCCGUAUUCAACAGUCGAUCCUGUGAAAAUCUGCCUCGUUAAACGCCUCCGCGUAUUUGAGGCGACGCAGUCACGCGUACUCGCACAAUCCAUCAAAAGCCGAUGCGGCGAAUUCGCCGGUGCAGAUCGAUGCGGGACGAGAAAAGGCGGCAAACGGUACGAAGCGACAAAAUAUAAAUCGCUAUCGAAUACGGUAAAGUGCAGCGACUUACUAUCAACAGUCGUAAAAACGGCAAAUCGUCCACGAAAAGCCGUAAAGAAAUAAAUCGCUAUCAACGGCCGUAAAAAAGUAAAUUGCAGUCGAGAGUCGUUGGGUUCCGCGUGCAUAUCUCGGGGGAUACUGGUAUAUCAUGGAAAUUGUGUAUGGGAAAGAAAAGAACAACGAACAAUUGAUGGGAAAAAGGCAUCGCCAUUAAAAGUCAAUUCGCCGAUAAAAAUGCGCAA